rnacentral:rRNA from 1 species
AUUGAACGCUGGCGGCAUGCCUUACACAUGCAAGUCGAACGGCAGCACGGGUGCUUGCACCUGGUGGCGAGUGGCGAACGGGUGAGUAAUACAUCGGAACAUGUCCUGUAGUGGGGGAUAGCCCGGCGAAAGCCGGAUUAAUACCGCAUACGAUCUACGGAUGAAAGCGGGGGACCUUCGGGCCUCGCGCUAUAGGGUUGGCCGAUGGCUGAUUAGCUAGUUGGUGGGGUAAAGGCCUACCAAGGCGACGAUCAGUAGCUGGUCUGAGAGGACGACCAGCCACACUGGGACUGAGACACGGCCCAAACUCCUACGGGAGGCAGCAGUGGGGAAUUUUGGACAAUGGGCGAAAGCCUGAUCCAGCAAUGCCGCGUGUGUGAAGAAGGCCUUCGGGUUGUAAAGCACUUUUGUCCGGAAAGAAAUCCUUGGCCCUAAUACGGUCGGGGGAUGACGGUACCGGAAGAAUAAGCACCGGCUAACUACGUG